AUCAUUUAAAAUUUAUUGUAUAGUUAAUAUAUCUGAAGUUUGGAAAAAUGAAAUAGUCCACAAUCCAUGUUUGCAAAAGCAUUUCAAAAUUCUCGUUCGCAAUCCAUGUUUGUGUAAAACUUGCCUCAUUAUUGAACACUUAAAAAAAAUCCAAAGCCAAUUCAAGAUUGACUCUAUGCAACAAAUUAUUCUUGCAAAAUAAAGGUCAUCCACUGAAUAAAAACCAUUCUAUGAACAAAUACAUAUAUAUAAAAAAACAUAGUAGUAACUCUUCUAGUCCAAGACAUAUAAUCUUAAAGA
rnacentral:lncRNA from 1 species